ACUCCUACGGGAGGCAGCAGUGGGGAAUAUUGCACAAUGGGGGAAACCCUGAUGCAGCCAUGCCGCGUGUGUGAAGAAGGCCUUCGGGUUGUAAAGCACUUUCAGUCGUGAGGAAGGUAGUGUAGUUAAUAGCUGCAUUAUUUGACGUUAGCGACAGAAGAAGCACCGGCUAACUCCGUGCCAGCAGCCGCGGUAAUACGGAGGGUGCGAGCGUUAAUCGGAAUUACUGGGCGUAAAGCGCAUGCAGGUGGUUUGUUAAGUCAGAUGUGAAAGCCCGGGGCUUAACCUCGGAAUUGCAUUUGAAACUGGCAGGCUAGAGUCUUGUAAGAGGGGGGUAGAAUUUCAGGUGUAGCGGUGAAAUGCGUAGAGAUCUGAAGGAAUACCAGUGGCGAAGGCGGCCCCCUGGACAAAGACUGACGCUCAGAUGCGAAAGCGUGGGGAGCAAACAGGAUUAGAUACCCUGGUAGGAUAGCG
rnacentral:rRNA from 1 species